CUUCUAGCCUAUCUGGGCAGAAAAUAAUCUGUCACCAGCCUGGCCCAACCAACAAGCAGAGCCCUGAGAUGGGCAGGGAGCAUUUGGUCCCCUGUGAGUUGUAGGAGGUUACCCUGAAAUCUGAGAGGUGACAUGGCUUACCAGGAUCCCAGAGCGAGUGGAGUGGGGACCCCCCCUGGAAUCUUACAGUUCAGACUCUCAACCCCCCUGCUUCUGUCCACACAUACACAGGAGAUUUUCAAACAACGCUCCUUGAGAGGGAGGAGGGAGGUGCCGAGGCAGCUGUGACUCUCACGCCCAUCUUUAAUCAGAGCGGCUCCACUCAGACUUAAAAAAAAAUGUUAGUUCAUGUCUUUUACUGACUCAUACACAAUUACUUGUCUUCUGGUUUGUUGAAGCAAUCAGUCAGACAACAAUUUGCCACAGUAAUUUCGCUCCAAGUGGCUGGCCAUAAACACUCCAGUGCCACAAUCAUCUGAAGGGCAUUUCCAAAGAAGAAAAUAUGCUCUCUUAAGAACCAAGUCUGAAGCGAAGGCUGUACUUGAACUUCGGGCUGGCUGGACCACUCAGACCGAUUGAGGCCCCUAAGGUAAAAGCCUUGCUCCAAGUCCCCUUCUGACUUCUAGUCACUUCCGUGCUGCCAGCAGAGGGCGUGGGAUUCUUCCUGAGGAGCCUGAGUCUCAGCUUUGCCAGGUCCUUGCUGUGUGACCUUGGGCACCUGUGCUCCCUUGACAAAGAGGAAUAAAACCUCUUCAGACUACUCUCCUAUCGAUUCUCUCCUGGAACAUAUGACCACCAUCAAUUAUAGGCAAGAACAUGAACACGGGAGUCCCAAAGACUUGGGUUCAAAUGUCAGCCCCUUCACUCGCUGGCUGUAGGUGUGAGGCCCUGGCUCCUGUGGGGCUAUUGCAGAGGAGAAACUUCUGGAACAGAGAGCUCCUUGUCCAGGGAUGCUGCAUCUGGGUGAGCUGCUCCUUGGAUAUGGUGCAAGUGUGGCCAGGGUGUGGUGUGGAAGGAGCAGAAGUCUUCAGGACUGAAUCUGGAUGGACCACUGUGACAGCUGUAUACCCAGGUGGUACCAGUUUCCCUCUCUGCAGAAGUCCCCCCAACAGCACCAUUCUCAGUGCCAUACCUGGCCUCAUCAGGGCUCUGAUGCAAGACACUGUAUAUGCAGAAUAUAUUAUUUCAUCCUCACAACAGUUCUGUAUCUUCCACAUUUUAUAGGCUAAGGAAAUAGGCUCAGGGUAGUCAAGUAGCUUUCCCAAAGGCACACAGCAG
rnacentral:lncRNA from 10 species